UAGCUUUAAUUAUUUCUGAGAAGAUAAUUGAAAAAAAAUACAUAUGAAAGACUUGCAUGUCUACCUUGUUAUUAAUAGGUGCUGUACCUUUGAUUUAGGGAGUGUUAUUGUUAACAUAUUUUUGCUAUUAACCAGAUCUCAUUCUGUCAAUCAGUUUUCUGAAUUCAAAACUGAACAGAUCUCAUCCAGUUAUCUCUUAAAGUCCAUAAUAAUUAUUCUUAUUUAUCUCUUAUGGACUUAAUUGUUUACGACUACUUUCUUUUAGGCAUGGAUAUGACACUGCUGACCUGACCUACACACUCUGGGGAAGGUAUGAGGACUUUCAGUGUGUGUGUUUGUGUGUCUGUGUGUGUCUGUGUGUGUGUGUGAAUUAGUGUGUCUAUUUGUGUAAUUGCAAAUCUAUGUGAGUGAAUGUGUGUGAAGAUGGUGUAGUGUGAAUAACCCUCUACCCCUCCCAUACCCAGAAUGCCUUGCAGGCCUGGUUUUCACCACAUCAGGAUACAGGCCUGCUGGCUUAAUUCCGGUGUGAAACGGAGCGCUGGUGCACCGCAAUGUGUGUGUCAUACACAAGCAAUCCCACCUCAGACAGAUGGACAGGUGCUCUAACGGACAUUCACUUUUGUUACGUUAAUUAAAUGCAACCAUUCUUUACCAAAUAAGUUUAUGUCGCGUACACAAAGAGUUCAUGUGCAAAUCUAUACACAGAUCCACUUUAUGCAGACAACUACACUUAGACUCAGCAGAAUGGAUGCUUGAUGUUUCUUUAUUGUAUGUUACUUCUGAAAUUAACAUUGUAUUGGUCUUAAUUCAACAUUUUAUUGGAAUCGCUGGUAAUGUCUGUCAGAGAAGGGAUGUAUAUUUGGUGUUGCCAGCAAAGCAAGUGUACGAGCAGUUCGGCUCAGAGGCACAUUGAAGGCGGAUUGUCCCAUUGUGUGUAUUUUAAUAGCAGUGAAGUCCUAUGAAGUUGUCUGCUUACGUUUACAUUCAUGCAUUUGGCAGACACUCCAAAAAGGGCCUACAGUGCAUUCAAGCUAUACGUUUUAGUAGUAUGUGUGUUCCCUGGAAAUCAAAUCCACAACAUUUGCUCUGCUUAUGUAAUGCUAUACUAAGCUAAAAAAUUAUGCUAAAUGGCACUAAAAGUGGUUCGCUGGCUCGUAAUCAUAGGGGGGCCAUUUUUAGUGCCAUAUAGCACAGAUGAAGUACCUGUGUAGAACCAUAUUAUGCUCUGUUGAACCAUAAGUUGUGCUAUAAUGGUGCUAUAUCACCACCCCUUCACAGGUGCAAUAUGUGCAAUGUACACUCUUAAAACAAACAGUGCAUAGAGGAACCAUUUUAAGUGCCAUAUAGCACAGAUGAAGUACCUGUGUAGAACUAUAUUGUGCUAUGUAGAACCAUAUAUGGUGCUAUAGUGGUGCUAUAUGACCCCCGUAUGGGUCUUCAUAGGUGCUAUAUAGCACUAAAAAUGGUUCCUCUAUGAUUACAAGCUUUUAGUGCUAUUUAGCACCAAUUUUUAGUCAAGAGUAUAUAGUAUACAUUUUUAAGAGGAACAUGCAGGGUUGCCAAAUCUUUAAGUUAAGAAUCUGGCCCUAUGCAUAGUCUAUAUAACAAUGUUCAUGAUAAAACAAACCAGUAAAAGCAAAAAGUCACCUUUUUUCAACCCAACAUGCUUCAGCACAUAUGCCAGCAUAUCAUGCAUGGGACAGAAUGCUUUAAAUACAAACUGAAGUUCACAUUUAAAAUCAAUAAUUUGAUGUUUUACAGGAUAAUGUUCAAUGCAAAUAUGCUUUUAAAGGUACUGUUAUAUAAUUUGGUCCUGUAACUCGACUGGCAUUUCAAUUAAUGUUUAUUCCUUUAAAUGACAAUUUAAAAGACCACAAGUCUCUGCCAUCGAUUAGCAAAUAACCUUUUUUUUAAUUGCUUAAUUUUUUUGUGGUUGGAUGAUAGUGGUCCAUAAGAAAAUGAAUAGACCUGAGAGCAGAUAUUUAAGGGGGCAAAGUUUUAAUCGUUCUGAUUGUCAGGCUAUUUUUAGUGGCACUUAAAUGUUGUUCAGUACUCUUUGCUAUGUUAAACCUUGAUGAAUUUGAAAAUCUAUUGAAGGGAUCAAAUCACAGAGCUUCAGGUGAAAUUUAUUUCAUUUUUAACACAAAGCUGCCAUCUUCUGGCCAUUCCUGGAGGUUAGAAUCAUGACAGUCCAUUUGAUUUUAGAGUCAGUGCUUACCACACAACCACCAGCAAAAUGCUUCAGUUGUUUUCUAGUUGACAUACAUGACAAACAUGAAAAACGACAAAAUACAGACAUAUAUAGAAAUAGUGUGUAUUUUUGAAUAGUAUAUAUACAAUGCAUUAUAGCUUGUGCUAUAUUAAGUACGAUUUAAACUUGAACCAGAUUUGCUUUUGGAACAGGAACAGUAUCUAGAUGUUGAAAGUUUCUUUGUAGACAAAUGACAUAAUGAUGUGUGGUAAGAGACUAAGUGUAUGUGUGCACGAGUGUUUUUAGCUUUAAGGGGAUGUGCUGGGUAACUGUUGCCCGCUUUGGGUUUCCGGACUUGGGGCCUGCACACUGCCAGUUCCCCAUCUCCCUCUCUCUCUAUCUCUCUCUCCAUCUUUUAUUUUAUCUUUUAUCACACCAACCAGGCUCUCAGUCAGGAUACUGUGGUAACAGGCAAGCUGAUUUCUGCUUCACCCUUAUGAUCUUGAUGGAAGAGAGGAGUGGAGAAGAGAGGAGGAGAAAAGAAGAAGAGCUGGUGUCCUUGGUUUGGGGCUGUUAGGUGUGGAACGUGUGAUACUCUUCAACAACAGCAGCAAGUCUUUCUCUCCACCCCGGCCCACCACACUUUCUAAUACAAGAGAGAGACAGAAAGAGUAAUGUUUUGUGAACUGAUAUAAGUACACUACACAUCAAAUGCUCAUGCUAUCAUCAUAUGCACUCGCAAAAGCUUACCUGUGCGAUUCUGCGAUUCUCUGGACCUUUUUUGAGCCGUG